rnacentral:piRNA from 1 species
GGCCAAGUGGAAAGCAUCUGGCAGCC